CAGCGGACGGCAUGACUCGUGCAAGUGUGAUUGAGUGUUGUUUACAAAAUUGACAGUUCUCUCAUCUUCUCUAAGUUAUUGUAGGCUUUAUAACGCGUUUCAUAUUGUGAAUUUAGAGUAUUAACGUAACAGAAGAUAUGGGGGAAGCCAAAGAAAAAGAGUGCGCGUGUGGAAAUAUCCUCUACAUUUCAGAAAUGCUUCUCUCUGCUUGGGUUUGCUAAAUUAGCCAUGCUGCUAACUUACAAUUCAGCUAACUAGCAAGGGAAAAACUGCAUAUCUAUGUAAUCAACCAACCCUGUCUCCGUUUUUGUAGACUAAUAAAAAGUGAGAAUGCUAGGUAAGGAUUGACUAUCUAAAAGAGCUAGUUAUUGAUCUAUGUUGUUGCUAUGUGUCGGUAGCUAGCUAAUGCCAGCUGAUCUGAGCCGAGCUGGUGAUGAUGACGAGCAUUGCUGAUGUCAUCAAUCAGCUGGUCGAAGCGCAUGAAGAAGGAAAUGACGUCAACUUCGACAAGUGGCUGUAGUGGCUGUGACGUGAAAACCCCAUCGUUGUCCUCACAUCAGUUUCACAGGAAACAUCUGUGUGUGGUCCGGACUCUUUGAAUACUCCACAGUCUUACACAGGCUAUGAGGCCUUGGCUGAGGAGUACAGAGACUACUUUAUCAGGAACCUCCACGACGCCCUGUCAGGACACACCUCUAACUACGUAGCUGAGGCCGUCAGGUGCUCGGAACGCAGUAACACAGAAUUCUGGGUAAUAUCCUGAUGAAUGGAAUAGAGGGGUAACAAGACUCCUGUUGCAUUCUGGGUAAUAUGCUGAUGAAUGGCAUCGCCAUCGAGACGCCGUCCUGACUACUGUCUGAAGAGACACCUCAGUGACAUGCUGGGGUAUGGCUGUACCCGGCUGGAGAUAAGGGUUCAGAGCGUCUACGAUCACGUAGCACGGGACACCAACAGCCCCAACAGAUCCACAGAUGAUGCCAUCUCUAUUGAACUCCACACUGUCCUUUCACACCUGGAUAAAGGGAACACUUAUGUGAGAAUGCUAUUCAUUGACUACAGCUCAGCGUUCAACACCAUAGUGCCCUCAAAGCUCAUCAAUAAGCUAAGGAUCCUGGGACUAAACACCUCCCUCUGCAACUGGAUCCUGGACUUCUCGACGGGACGCCCCCAGGUGGUGAGGGGAGGCAACAACUCAUCCGCCACGCUGACCCUCAACAUAGCUUUAAGCACCAGCUGUCAGAGCAGAUCACUGCACCUGUAAAUAGCCCAUCUGUAAAUAGCCCAUCUGUAAACAGCCCAUCCAACAACCGGUCCGGCCUGUUGUCCGGACCUCUGGCAGUCUCUAUGGGGGUGCCACAGGGUUCAAUUCUCGGGCCGACUCUCUUCUCUGUAUACAUCAAUGAUGUCGCUCUUGCUGCGGGUGAGUCUCUGAUCCACCUCUACCCAGACGACACCAUUCUGUAUACUUCCGGCCCUUCUUUGGACACUGUGUUAACUAACCUCCAGACAAGCUUCAAUGCCAUACAACUCACCUUCCGUGGCCUCCACACUGCUCUUAAACGCAAAUAAAACUAAAUGCAUGCUCUUCAACCCAUCAUUGCCCGCACCUGCCUGCCCGCCCAGCAUCACUACUCUGGACGGUUCUGACUUAGAAUAUGUGGAUAACUACUAAUAUCUAGGUGUCUGGUUAGACUGUAAACUCUCCUUCCAGACUCACAUUAAGCAUCUCCAAUCAAAAAUAUUAUCUAGAAUCGGCUUCCUAUGUCGCAACAAACCUUCCUUCACUCAUGCUGCCAAACAUACCCUCAUAAAACGGUGAUGUCAUCUAUAAAAUAGCCUCCAACACUCUACUCAGCAAACUGGAUGCAGUCUAUCCCAGUGCAAUCCGUUUUGUCACCAAAGCCCCAUACACUACCCACCAUUGCGACCUGUACGCUCUCGUUGGUUGGCCCUCGCUUCAUACUCGUCGACAAACCCACUGGCUACAGGUUAUCUACAAGUCUCUGCUAGGUAAAGCCCCGCCCUAUCUCAGCUCGCUGGUCACCAUGGCAGCACCCACUCGUAGCACGCGCUCCAGCAGGUAUAUCUCACUAAUCACCCCCAAAGCCAAUUCCUCCUUUGGUCGCCUUUCCUUCCAGUUCUCUGCUGCCACUGACUGGAACGAACUGCAAAAAUCACUGAAGCUGGAGAUUCCCAUCUCCCUCACUAGCUUUAAGAACCAGCUGUCAGAGCAGCUCACAGAUCACUGCACCUGUUCAUAGCCCAUCUGUAUACAGCCCAUCUAUCUACCUCAUCCCCAUACUGUAUUUAUUUAUUUAGCUCCUUUUGCACCACAGUAACUCUACUUGCACAUCCAUCUUCUUCAUAUCUACCAUUUAAUUGCCAUAUUGCCACAUAAUUACUUCGCCACUAUGGCCUAUUUAUUGCCUUAACUCCCUUAUCUUACCUCAUUUACACUCACUCUAUAUGGACUUUGUUUUCUUUUUUUUAUACUCUAUUAUUGACUGUAUGUUUGUUUAUUCCAUGUGUAACUCUGUGUGGUUGUUUGUGUCGAACUGCUUUGCUUUAUCUUGGCCAGGUCGCAGUUGCAAAUGAGAACUUGUUCUGAACUAGCUUACCUGGUUAAAUAAAGGUGAAUUAAAAAAUAAAAUAAACUACCUCAUCCCCAUACUUUUUAAUGUAUUUAUUUAUCUUGCUCCUUUUCACCACAGUAUCUCUACUUGCACACUCAUCUUCUGCACAUCUAUCACCCCAGUGUUUAAUUGCUAAAUUGUAAUUACCUUGCCACCAUGGCCUAUUUAUUGCACUAACU